GAUGAACGCUAGCGGCAGGCUUAAUACAUGCAAGUCGAGGGGCAGCACAGGUAGCAAUACUGGGUGGCGACCGGCAAACGGGUGCGGAACACGUACACAACUUACCUUCUGGUGGGGUAUAGCCUUUGGAAACGGAGAUUAAUACCCCAUAUUAUAUAUGAGCUGCAUGGUUUGUAUAUUAAAGAUUUAUUGCCGGAAGAUGGGUGUGUGUAUGAUUAGGUAGUUGGCGGGGUAACGGCCCACCAAGCGGACGAUCAUUAACUGGUGUGAGAGCACGACCAGUCACACGGGCACUGAGACACGGGCCCGACUCCUAUGGGAGGCAGCAGUAAGGAAUAUUGGUCAAUGGACGGAAGUCUGAACCAGCCAUGCCGCGUGGAGGAUGAAGGUCCUCUGGAUUGUAAACUUCUUUUAUAGGGGGCGAAAAAAGGGAAUUCUUUCUCGUCUGACGGUACCCUAUGAAUAAGCACCGGUUAACUCCGUGCCAGCAGCCGCCGCAGUAA
rnacentral:rRNA from 1 species